GCCGCCAUGUUGGAGCCCUGAAGCUGCGGCGGGCCGAGGCUUCGCAGGGGCUCGUGGAGCUGAGAGGUGGGUGGCAUGGUGAGAAUGGUGAGGCGAGGAUGUAGAACUUGAUAGCCUCGUGCACCCUGUAGGAGUGAACAGAGGCUACACUGGGAACCGACAGGGCUGUCGCUCCAGAAAUGGCCUCGCGAGUCGUAAUGAGCCUCAACCCGCAGGGCUUGCACAAGGCCUCGCUACCGGGGAAUACAGGGAGUCGCUUUACUUCUGAGCGUGGAGGACCCGGUAGACUUCCUAGACGGAUUGUCUGAGCAGAAGGUGUCUUUGUUGUGGUGUGGGGACUCGGGAUCGCAGGCCUCGCCCCUGUAGGACGAAAAGCCCGCUUGCACCCUGAGUGGAGCUAAACUUACUAGGUGGCGGUUGUUGUUGUUAGUAUUAUUUGUCUUGUCAUUUUUCUCCGUCCCUCAUGAUCGUUUUCUCAGGUGUCGGACCCCUGCCCCUACCACUGAAUUUUCGAUCCGUCGUGAAUUGCAGAGGGCCUCAAAGAAAUCUUUGGUAGAUAACGUGAUCACAAAGGGUUAUAACUUUGGCCCUGAAAAUGACAAAGGAAGGAUCUACCGAAGUUAGCACCUAAUCUUUCUUACCCCUCCAGCGAAAGUAAACGGACGUUGAAAAGGGUCUGCAAGUGAGCAGUCUUACUCGGACUAACACUGAAUGAACUAUGCUAAAAAUACUGCGUAAAUUCAAAGUUGAUAACCGUGGAGAACUUCCCUUUUCUUUUGUUACCUAUAUUAAUUGUGCAAAAUAAUGUGUUUCGUUGUGACUUGUCUUCAUGCAGAUAACAUUAGUUAACACAUUCAUCAUCCCCCUUCCCUUACCCACUUGGUACCUUUACCAAUGAAAAUGCAUUCAGAUGACUUAAAGAACUUUUGAGCCUGUUUGCUCGGCAUCACAAAUGACACCCUUUCUCCAGUACUGUGUUUGUUUUUCAGGUUCUGAAGUUUACUAUAGAAACACCUGCAGAUUGUCUCUGAAAAGUUAAAAAUGCUGAUAGGCAUAAUUUGUGUAUUUUAUUUUUCCCUCCCAAGCUUUGUGAAGAAGAUGUAGCUCAGUGGUGGUUUGAAUUCACACAGCACAAUCAAGACCCUGGAUUGGAUCCCCAACACUGGUUUGUUAGCAUCAGUGAAAAUAUAUACAGUGCCUCUGUUAGAAAUUAAUAAAAUUCUGCUGAUAAGUAGCUCUUCCUUUCAAAAAGAUAGGCAGGCUGCUUUUAAAAUUGCCAAAACACAACAGGAACCCUCAAAGAUAUAUGGAGAUGAUGGUAGCUAAAAAGGCAGUUUUCAAAGACUAGGCUUAUGUUGGGAGACGCAGCCACAGAAGUGGCAAAAGCCAGUCUUGUGAAUUCAGCAAUAUAAAAGCCUCAGAAAUAUGAUGAUUCUUCUGCCUGUAAUGUUGGUAAGUACCAGAAAGGAAAGGAAGUUCCUUUGUGUCCUUUGCUUGAAAUGUAGAAAUGGUUCAGGCUAAUAAACCAUUUGUUUUAUAAUACGUUUAUAUGAGCAAUAACCUAAGUUUGAGUUAUGUAAAAGACUUAUUGAAAGAAAAUAACAGGGUAGCUGAAAAUGGUGUGAAAAUGGGGUUAAUUUAAUGUAAUGGGUUCUACAAUAUGUAUGUGAUUGAGUACUUUGAAGUAUUCUAGCCUUCUAUAUAAUGGAUAGUCAAGCAUAAAUGCAUGGGAAAAAUAUCAGUGUCUUAGACUAAAAAUUAAGUCUACUUUCAUAGGAAAAAAUCGAUAUUCUUUAGAAACAUAAGGGAAAACAUUUUACCAGGAAAAAACCAAAUGUAUCUUUCAGACCUCUUUGAUUAUGGUAAAUACCAUAUUUCCCAUUUCCUUAAGUUGAUACAGAUAGACACACCAUUUGGAUUUAGCAAAUAAGGUUUUGGGGGUUCCCCCCCCCUUGGAGCAAAUCAUUAACUCAUUUUAAAUAAUAAGAAAACUAAAAUUUUUCAUAUUUUAGACAUUCGUUCACAUAGAUUUUUGCUGCUCCUGCAUGGCUUAAGGUAAAUGGAACAAAUGUUUCCCAAAAUUUGAAAUCUAAAUGACAUCAAAUUUAUAUUAAUUAAUGACUACCUAGAAAAGCAAGCUUUCUUUAUCUUACUAUCUUAUUUCUCAGAUUUUUAACAGGCUUGGAUAAUUAAAGGGCACUAGAAAACAUAUUUUUGCAAGAAUAUAUGCUGAUAAACUGUAUAUGUUAAUGAAUAUAACCAUUUCCGGAAAUUCAGGUAUGCUGAGAUGCUCAACUGCAGCCAUUUGUGUAAGUAGGCAUACAUUCAUAGGUCUUUGAGAAUCUUCAAUAAUGCUGUGUGUAUGAUGUUGCUAUAAACUAAUCCUCUGGGUUGUAUCUUUUUUUUUUUUAUACUCAGCUUUGUUGAAAUGAAAUUCACAUGUGCACUUCACCUAUAUAAAGGGUACAGUCCAAUGGGUUUUAGUUUGCCCAGAGUUCGGGCAAUCAACACAAUUAUACAGGAAAAAAAAAAAAAAAACUAUGCAAAACCAUGCUUGUAAGUAUAAAGAAAUAACUGUGGAAGGAUUUGUGUCUUCUUCUAAAGUGGUAUUAUACAAAGCUUAUUGUGGGUAAUGUAGUCUUAAAGUACUUCAAUUACAAUUGCAAUACUGCAAGUAAAUAGCAUGUUCCUUGUAGGUAAUAAGUGGCUUUUACUGGAAACAGACUAUUUUGUAGCAUAGGUUACUGGCAGUUACAUGAUACAGCACUGUCUCAGUUGAGAAUUCUUUUAACGAUGACUCGUACUUGAUUGAUUGCUUUCUUUUUCUGUAUGAUUAUCAUGCUGGGCAUUACGCCUUUAUUGAAUUUUAGUCCCUGAGCUUAUUCCAUGUUCAGUGUUCAUGUUUGUGUGUCUUUCUAAACCUCAGCUUUCAUUUUGCUUUUGAGAUGGUUCAUGAGCAUUUUUUCCCCAAGCUGCCAUUGUUUGCCCAUGAAGGCUUACUAAAUUUUGUUAUUUUUUAUAUAAACUCUGAAUUACCAAUAUAGUGAAGAGUCACCAGAUUUCAGGGUUAAGGACUGAAUGGAAUAGAGAAAAACAGGUACCAAAUAAAAAUAAGAGGUUUGAGUCUCUGAAAGAUAAAUGUGGGUUUAUUUUAAAUGUUAGAAGCAACAACUUAUUUAUUUUUAAGGAUUUAUAUGCUUGGGUAUUUGCCAUCAUGUAAUUGCCUACUCUGGUGUCCACAGAGGUCAAAAGAGAGCCUCAGAUUGCCCUGGAACUAGAGUUAUAGAUUGUUUUGAGCCACCAUCUGGGUGUUGGAAACUGAACUUGGUCCUUUGAAAAAGCAACAAGUGCUCUUAACCAUUGAACUGUCUCUAUCCUCUCACAACUGUCUUAAUCCCCUCUUAGAAACUAAAGUCCAGCCUUAACUCAGUGCACAAUGAUUACGUCCUAAAGGAAUCUGAGGACAUUUAUACUUACACUCUGCUGGAAAACCCAGCCAAAAAGGCAAAGAAAAGGAUCUCUGAAAUUCUUUUACAGUAAUUUUCUUGCAUAAUACUCAGUGGUUUGGGUUUCUUUCUAAAACCCAGCACUGUUGAGGGAGAAAGAAGGAAACUGUUACUUGGAGCCCAGCCUGGACUAUGUGGGGAAUUCUUGUCAAACCACAGGAAAUUUUUUUUCUUUUCAUGAUUGCCAUUUUCAAGUCUUGGCUGCCUGUAUAACCAAACUUGGAUUUUGUGAAUUUUUUAUGAUUUAAAAAAAAAAAACAAGACGUAGCAGUGACAAUGAACCUUACCUACUGAGUAAUUUCAUCCUAAAGCAUGGUAUUUAUACUUCAUUAAUGCACAUCAAACUCAACUGGGAUCUUUAAAACCGUUAUUAGAGAGAGUAUUAAAUGUUCAGUGAAUGCCACUGGUCUCUGUUACUGAUAAGAGAAAUCCAUAAUUGAAUUUAUUAGAUUACUUUUGUGGGAAAAGUGUGAUUGUGCAGAUACAAAAGAUGCAAAAGGAGAAAAGCAACUGACAGGCAGAAUAGCCCUCUGUAAAUGUCAUAAAUCCAAUUCUAACAGUUACGGAUCAAAUUUUACAUUGCCUGAAGUUAUUAUCAUCUCAUACUACCUGUUUUCUCUAGAGAUUUAACUGGAAAGAUAAAUGAAGAAAAAGAGUGAAUACAGAAAGAGUUCUAUAAAAUGAAAAACUAGAAAUCAAGACUCAAAAGACACUUGGCCUGCACAUAUACAUAUACCUUCCCCCACACCACCUUUUUAGUUUCCAGAGACAGAUUCUCUUAAUAGCUCUGGCUGUCCUGGGGCUAUCUACAAAACAUAGGCUGGCCUCAGCCUGAUCCACCUUGCCACCCUUUUUUCUCUGCUAGUCUAAUUAGGUAACUAAUUAAUACUUGUGCAACGAUCCAGAAUAAAUUUCAAGUAACUUAAGAAGAAAAAAGUUGUUUUUUCUUUGAGACAGGAUCUUUUUACAUAGCCUUGCCUGGCUGCCCUAGAACUUGACUAGACUGGCCUUGAACUCUCAGAGAUCUCUGCCUCCCUAGUGCUGGGGUUACCCAUGCACCAUGCUGACAUAAAAAUGAGUUCCUGAUAGCCUGUCAUAGUUGAGACACACCAGAAGAAAACAUCCAAUUCCAUUACAGCUCCAGAACAGGUGUAUUAAAAUUGUGGGCCUGGCUGUGUCUGGUGCAUCUGGUACAUGUGUGAUGAGAGCCUUGUAACACAAGUGAAUAGAAGAACAAUGUUGGAGAAUAGUAAAUUCGAGGAGCUUCGUGGAGACAGUAUGUGGGACUACUCAUCUCAAUACUCCAGGCGCUGGAGAGGUGGUUUCUAAUUCCACUGUACAGGAACUGCUACUUGGAUCAAGAAAAAGCAAAAAGAAAAUGACAUUUUUAAAUUUUCUGCACAUACCCCAAAGAGGUGCAGCAACCAAUGUCAUACAGACCUGGUGACAAAAGUUCUGUUUAAAGCACACCAUCUGUGCAUGAUUUCAUAAACAUACCAGGACUUGAAAGCUUGAGUUAAGAGCUGGCUUGGGCAUUCCAAGAUGAUGUCUCAGAAAAUAUCCUGGUUGCUGGGGUUAAAGUGUAUUCUUUGAUCAAUUCCACUUUCCAAGAAAAAUACCAAGAUUUUUUGGAGUAUGUGUUCAUAGCUCACAAUUCAACAGUUCUUAACCCGUGUAUACACAAACACACACACACACAGUGUGUUUUACAUGCUUGUCUAGAAUGAAAAGCAGUCUAGACAGAACUUUUCUUUGGAUAAACACAAUAGUAAAAGUGAAAAAUGAUUCUCAAGCCCCUCUGCUCCACAUAGGAAGCCUUAGACCAGAAUCUGACGCUUAGCUGAGUUGUCCUUAGUAACAGGUACUGAUCACUGAUUCCUAGUGCCAACUUGUGAUGUCUGGACUCAUUACAAUACACACAGGGACAACUGCUAUUCUAGUUCCAGGAAAUGAAUACUGCAUUGUUGAUCCUAAGUAUAUAGAUUAAAGAACUUUCUAUGGUUAUUUCCCUUCCAGAACAGUUAAUCUGCCUGGGUCAUAUGGUACUGUAAGUACCAUAGAUAAAUCAGUUUUAGAAUAAUGCUGACUUCUUGAGACAGGGUUUUACCUUGUAGACCAGGUUGGCCCCAAACUUGUCAGCCCACCUGCCUUUGCCUCAUGAAUGCUAGUAUUAUGAAAGGGUUUACUUUCUAUGAGUGGCAGAUAUAGGUGAGUGUUGAUGUCAGAGGUGCCAGAUCUCCCUGUAACUAGUUAAACUAUGAGGUAGGUACCUGACUUUGUUGUUGGGACCCAAACUCCAGCCCUAUGAUAGAACAAUAUUCACUUCGGAGCUACAUCCAUUCAGUUCUGGUCCUAUUUUCCUGUACUCAGCACCACCCAAUCUUCAGACAGGGCUAAGGUUGCCCAGAUUAACUAAUUUAGAACUCGUGUUGCCUUCCAAACACUGAGGUUGCAGGCUUCUAUAGCCAGCUGAUCCAGUUUUUAUAUUUUAAAAAUAAUUAUCAUGCUCUAAGUCCCAGCACUGGGGAGCUUGAGUUGGGAGGAUCUUGAAUUCAAGGCCAGCUUGGUCUACAUAGUUUCCAGGACAGACUGGGCAACAUAGACUCAACCAGUUUAUUUUACUGUUUUCUUUUUUUUGAUUUUUGUGUGUUUGAGACAGGGUUUCUCUGUGUAGCCCAGGCUGUCCUGAACUCACUCUGUAGACCAGGCUGGCCUUGAACUCAGAAAUCCACCUGCCUCUGUCUCCCAAGUGCUAGGAUUAAAAGUAUGCAUCACUACUGCCCUAUUUUACUGUUUUCAAGACAGGAUCUGUCUGUAACUGACUGUCCUAGAAUUUACUCUGUAAACCAGGCUGACCUUAAGUUCCAGCCUGCUUCUGCCCACCGAACACUGGGAAUAAAGGUGUGCAUGUUUUUUUAAUUUUUUUAAAAAUAGGAAUGAAUGUACAAUUUUAUCACUUGACUAGAAAAUGGUAGUCAGCCAACAGCGGUAGAAAAAUCACCUUCAAGAUUUAUAAUGCCCUCUCUCCAAAAGCUGAUUACAAAACAAUCUACUUUAUAACUCCUCUUUCCCACAGCAAAAGACUUGUACACACACCAGCAAGCUACACUUAGCAGCCAGAUGGUGGUACAUGAAUUGGGGCUUUUCUGAUUCUUGGCAUGGUCACAGUACUUGUAGUGUAAUUGUUAAACGAAUAUCUUGUUAAAUUAUAAACCUGGUAGAUUGCUUAGUCCUUUAAAAUUUGACUUAGCAUCAAAUCCUGGGUGUAAUAGCCUAGUCUACAGCAGGGACACGUAAAACUGCCCAUGUUUUUAGAAGUAAAAUCUGUUGAGGACAGGAAAUAUGGCAGAUUAAUUAAGAGCCAUUUCUCUUACAGAAAUUGCAGCACCUAAUUUUGAUGUCUCACAAAUUACAGUUCCAGGAUAUAUGACACCCUCUUACCUCUAUGGGCAUCAUCUGCAUGAAUAUGCUGCACAUACACUCAGGCAUAAAUAAAACUCAGAAUAUAUGUUAAGGUUUAUCCAUUGAGUGCCAUGACCCUGAAAACAUAGUAACAGAUAUCUUUAAAAGGUGUGCCUACAAAAUAUCUUCCAAAUGAAUGGAUGGAAGUUCUGCCCUUAACUGAGUUUAAUAUAUUUUUUUUGGCUCUAAUUUCUCGAGUGCCAUGAGGUGUGUGUGUGUAUGUGUGCGCGUGCGCACGUACACACAUACCAAUGUUAUAAGAGAGGUUUCUAGGUUCUGUAGAUGGUUGUGAGUUCCAAGGUGAGUACUGGAAUGGGCUCAACUACCUAGCAUACAAUUUCAAAUUUUUAGAAAAGAUUUAUUUAUUAUAUGUAAAUGCACUGUAACUGUCUUUAGACAUACCAGAAGAGGGUAUCAGAUCUCAUUCCAAAUGGUUGUGAGCCUCCAUGUGGUUGCUGGGAUUUGAACUCAGGACCUUCAAAAAAGAAAAGCAGUCGGUGCUCCUAACCGCUGAGCCAUCUCUCCAGCCCCCCAAUCUCAAAUUCUUAAUGAAAUCUGGGGAAGUAAUGUAAUCAUACCAUGUUUACAAGGCACUAAGUUUAGUCCUCAGAUGGCUACAUGUAUUGGCAACUAAUAAAGAUCUGCCUGCUUCUUCCUGUUUGCUGGGAUGAAAGCAAGUACCACCAUGCCUAGUCCUUGCUUGCAUUCUUACUACCUAAAAAGAGUUUUUGUCAGAGCUUCAGCAAUACAUGGAAGGAUAUUAAGGGAUCUGAGUUCACACAUUUUUAUUCUAAGAUUUAAGUACUGUAACUCUUCAGACACACCAGAAGAGGGCAUCAGAUCUCAUUAUGGAUGGUUGUGAGCCACCAUGUGGUCACUAGGAUUUGAACUCUGUACCAUUGGAAGAGCAGUCAGUGCUCCUAACCCAUCUCUCUAACCCCCACACAUUUUAACAUCAAAACAACAUGUAAGUACUGGGUUCUGUGAUCAAAUUCUACAUAAUUGAAAACCCCUGCCCUCUUUUUCAACUUAUAUUUGUGAAGACUAUUGAAUCAGGGCUGUAGCUCAGUUGGUAGUGAUGCCCAGUAUGCUCGAAGCCUUGAAUUUGCCUCCAGCACUGCGAUAAACAGGCAUACCCAUAAUUCCAACACUCUGAGUAAAGGCAGGAGGAUCAGAAGUUCAAGUUUUCUCACCAACACAGUGAGCUCAGAGCAAACUACAGCUUAGGCUAUAUGAGAUUGUGGUUUUUUAAAAGCAAAAAUUUUAUCACUAAGUUGUAAAGUUCUUUUAAAAUUUAGACCAUUUCACAUUCCCUUCUCAAAAUGUUUAAGGAAAUAUUUGUUAGGUAUCCACUAGGUGUCAGAUAAUUCACAGGUAGCUAUUCUACAGACACCAAGGUAAACACACCAUGUCCAUGAAAAUGUAGCAGUCUUAAAGAGUUAUCAAAAAUAGAUCUGCAAACCAAGUUGCUUAAGUACUAUAUUGUCAUUCUACUAGAGUUAAUUUCACACUUUUAAUUCAAUACCAAGCCAAAAACAUGCUGGCCUAAAUUGUGUAUAAUGGUCAUAGCAUAUACAAGUCAUAGACGAUAUAAGUCAAGUGGCAGGACCCUAGAGUAGGAGGCUGGGAAUAAUAAAGGUAAAGACUGGUGUG